GUCGUAACAAGGUUUCCGUAGGUGAACCUGCGGAAGGAUCAUUGUCGAAUCCUAUAGAAGCAAACCGCGAACAUGUUUAAUCACAUUGGGAUUGCGGCGGGGGCAAUCUCUCGUCGCAUUCCCCUCCCUGCACGCUCUCACCAURGUGGGUGUUGUGYGGGCUAACGAACCCCGGCGCGGAAUGCGCCAAGGAUUACUCAUGAAGCGUCCACCYCCUCGGCCCCGUUCGCGGUGAGUUGGGGGGAGAGGAUGAAUCUCCAAUGUCAAAACGACUCUCGGCAACGGAUAUCUCGGCUCUCGCAUCGAUGAAGAACGCAGCGAAAUGCGAUACUUGGUGUGAAUUGCAGAAUCCCG
rnacentral:misc_RNA from 1 species